AAUCGGCCGGGGUCCGGUCUCGAAGCCUACGUAGCGUGGGGGUAUCUCUAUCAGAAUGUGUUUUACAUUAAUACUUUAGUGUUUUAGUGGCGAUUGCCGGCCGUUAAUGCCACUCCGGCUUGAGUGGCCUGGCUCCCGGCUUUACAAAUUUAUACACUCUGCCGGUCGCUCGUCCUCUCCGAUAUGAUAUCUACGUUCAGAGGCAAGAGUGGCCAGGAGAGGCGAGGCCACUCGGCCGGGCCGAGAGAGACUCGGCUGACCUUAUUCCAGGUUCCGCGGCGACCUCGAUGUCCACCUGACCGAUCCACCUUCGCCUCGCGGAAACUUCCUCGUGAUCGAUGCGACCCGAUAACGAGUCCUCGCGACCCGAUCGAGCCGGGUUGCGCAACAGCUCCUUAAGUGUGUUUCUUCGUUCACCUGACGUGCCAUUAAUAACGUGGACGCUGCUCCCGGAGAUACGAGGCUCCUUUUGGUCGGAGGAGGAGAGGGGCCGGGUGACAGUUUUGCAUGCCGGACGCGCAACCGAAGAGAAAGAGGAGGAGAACUUUCUAUGAAUCGAAGAGGAAUCCGGCGAGAGAUCCGGUUCAGCCACGGAGAAAAUCGUGGCGAGCGAUUCGCGGUGGUCCCCGCGAUUUCUUUGGGCAAUUUAUUAGCCAUUAUCUGAGACAAUGCGCGGCUACCUGUGCGCCAAAGGGCGCGUACGGUUUGCACGGAGGGGGAGAGGGUUUCGAAGAAGAAAGCGCGGGGAAAGAAGCAAGAGCGAGGAGAGAAAGCCGGAGGAGAGGAGAGGAGAAGAGGAUACGUAAAAGCGGCGAGGAAAGGGGCCUGAUACCGAGGUAAGGGAGGACAGAGUCGGAAGAGUACAUAGGUGGGCCCGCGUAUAGGAGUGUAUGCACCUCUCCGAUCCUCUUCUUUGACACGAGGGGCCGAGAGGGAGGGAGAUCGGCUCGGACCAGCAGCGAGACGGAGAGAGAAGGAUAAGUGGAAGAAAAAGUCGCCUAAUUGAUGCUUCGUCUUUGUUUUGGUUAAUUCCAACAUGGUUCGGCCAUUAAAACGUCCCGCUGUAUCGGCGGGCCCGAUCUCCGGUGCGAGAUAAAUGAUGACACCCGCUCCAGGGGUACCAUACUUACCACCACCGUCUUCUCGUAUCCUCGUGUGUCCGUCACCAAUACCAUCUCCUCCGAUCCGAGACACGCUGCGUUUCCUUUCUAGCGCAAACAGCUUUUCUUAGUCCCUUUACACUUGUUAGUUUGGUAAGAAUCGGGGAAAGAUCAGGGAAAUCUCGAAUAAAAUAUUCCAACAGGGACGGUUUACUUUCAAAAAUCGUUUCGAGAGAAUUAAUCUUUGCUAGCUCUGCUAUAAAGACGUAAUUGUCGUAACUUGGUUCGGCUUCGCUAGACAUGCGCAGUUUGCGUUAUUGCGCGAAUUGCGCAGUCUCAUUAUUGUCAUGCGCAGUUCGCAUUAUUGUAACGCGUAGUUUUGCUAGUGGUUAUGUAGCGAUGACGGUAUAUGGUAUAAUCUACAAUUAUAUUUAUUGUUAUAAUUUGGUGAGAAUCAAGGAGAAAUAAGGUAAUUUCUCUCAGCGACGUAUUACUUUUAAAAGUGUUUUUCAACAAUUCGUCGGUUCUGCGGAGAUAUUCAUAAUUUUACAUUUUGUCUGGCUUCGUUAGACAUGCGCAGUUGUUAUAUGCGGUAUACAUAAUUGAAAUAUAACCUAUAAUUAAUAUUAAGUAAUUAUCAAAUUACUACCAUCGUUCUAUUAUACAAUUAUACGUAUAACGUAUUAUUUGAUAGGAAUAACAAAAUAUUUUUAUUACAAUGGGCAAAUACCAAAGACGUAAAUAAUGACAUAGUUAAAUUUUUCUUUUAAUUCUUUUUGGAUAUCGUUCAUUCUUGUCCUAUCGUAUCUCUCUCCAGUUUCAAACCAAACGGUUGCACGGAUCGUUGGAAAAUACAAGGAAAAUGUUCGUAGACGUAUCGGUCAGUGGUAAAGCAAAAGAACGGACAAAUUGUCGGGCGUAUAUUACACGCUUCUCAGAGCUACGUCACCGUGAAAUAUCACAUUUUGCCACGAGACCUCCACGUUUACGAGGGAUCGAAGUGGCGCGCGAACGAGACGUCCCUUCGGCCGGAUGAAGAGGGAUCGCCAGGACGGUGCCAUCCUUGACCAUUUUCGAAUAAUUAACGUCGGUUUUCGUGAAACUUUCGGCUUUCUACCUGAACCCCUGGGCUUAGCCAUCGAGAAAUCGUUCCACAAAUUUGGACCAUACUUUUGAAGUAAGGAAACAAACGAACAAGUUUGAAAAACUUGAGGUAAUCGUUUGAAAUUACCGGUUUGAAAAAACAUUGAUAUUAAACAAAGGAAUAUUCGUUGAAGCAUUUUCUUUAUUCUUCGUAUAUCUUAUCUACAUAAAUGCGACGAUACGUUUUAAAUUGCGAGUAUUUUUCAGCCAAGUUAAUUAUAAAAUACAACCAGCAGAUUUUUAUAUAAUUUUCAAAUAAAUUGCACGAGGUACGUAAUAACGACGAAUUUGAAUUGUACGAAUUUUUUUUAAGAUCAUUAAUAAUUUAAGUAUAUAUAUAUAUAUAAAUAGCAUAAGUAAUUUCUUCAAUUUUCAAACAGGAUAUUUUCUCAACAGAUCAUUAAAUUCAUUUUUACCAUAUUUUUCAUCGACACGACACUUGGAGGCAGCCAACAAUACCCGAACCAACCCGAUAAAAAUUCGCAAUGAGGAGAGACGAAGAUUCAAUACCGAGAUAAGGAUCGAAAAGAGCCAACUAUCUUAUUAAUUCAAACGCCAUGGACGACAGGCAAGUCUUCAACAUCCAUUAUACACGGACCUUUUACCCAGCUGGUUCUCACGCGACACCUACGUUUUCCAUCGAGCUGCUUGAUUUAGGAUUUCCUGCGGCAACCAAGUCGGGUUACGAACAAUUCGUGGCAUUCGAGAAGGGUGUCGAGCCGCGAUUCACGUUCCAAGGAUGUCUCCACGACACCUGAGAGCCCCGUUUCGCCGUGACCCAUCCGCCGGGAACGCUGGACGUCGGUUACGGUCGCCAGCGAUUUGUCACCAUCGAUUCGCUAGAAGGGGUCUCGUCAUUAUUUUAGAAUAAUCUAAAACCGAUGGUGAUUAGUGGAGGAAGCGUCACCUGCGCGAUCAGCUUCUCGUUUGCGGCGUGUGACCGCAGACUGACCCUUCCGCGAGACCGAUUUCCAGAGAAGGCCAUCAUCCAUCAUCAUCGGUGGCUGGGUCAAAUAAGUAGAUACGUUUCCAUUUCAUUUCGAGAUAGAAUUCACAGUAGAAAGGAGGAUAAGCGUUAUGUAUCUAAUUUUUAUGAAUCGCGUAUAUCUAAUAUAAGAGGUACGUAUUAGCAUCGAGAUCUGCAAUCUACUUAUAAAUCAUAAGGGAUUCCACGUUUAUAAAUUAAAUUCCGUUAUCCUCCGCAAGAUCUUAUAUCUCGCUACAACAAAAUAACCUGAUAUAUUCCAUUUGAUUCCGACGAUAGGGAAGAAUAACUGGUAAUUAUAACUCGAUAUUAACAUUUUCACUAUUUUUAACUAAUCUUUUCUCAUCCUCUUCCAGCAAAUUCCUUGGACCGAUCGCGAAAAAGGAGCAACGAGACCCCCCCAUUGACCGGCACCCACUUCGGAGGAACAAAGCAGAAGCGGAGGAACGGAACCAGCAGCCAGAUACGAUCAAUUACUAUAAAACUGUCCGACCGUUCCUACCGAAAACCGCGCAUACCUCGUCCAGGUGUGACCGCGACAUCCUUGGAACGCCUUGACCGCCCGCUUUUUCUCUUGUCUUAGAAGCUCACCGAACAGGAUUCGAGCGUUUUUCAGCGCUCUCUCACGGCGUGCACCGGUUGCAAAAAAGAAUAGACGCAGAAUUUUCGGCGAGUAUUAAUGCCAGGGCCCUUCCUCGUUACGCCAUCCUAUGCAUAGUUUCCCUCCUUUGCUGAUGCCGCGAUCAUCAAUGGGAACUUUGGCGCGUGAAUGAACGAACCGAGGAGGAGGAGAUCACAAGUAUCCCACAGAGGGAAUACCGCUCUCACGCUAGCAGAGAUUCGAAUAGCGAUUUUUUUACACAUUGAGGUAUAAAAGUGGAAUUUAUGAAGAUCGAUUAUAGAAUGGAAAGGGGAACGUUUAAUGGAGGGGUUUGUAUUGGACAAAUUUUAGGUUGAUGGAUGAGUAGCUGGGUUUUGUUUAUUGUGAAUUUGAAUUAUACGUUAAAAGUAAUUGUUCCUAGUUUUAUAAGUUCAAUGUUAUAAUUUUCUUUUCUUUUCUUUACAGUUAAACGCGUUUAAAUUUCUGCUAUGGAAUUCCUGCAAAGCGAAGAAAGGAAAAUUUUGAAGCGGAUAUUAGAAAGUUAAAAUAUCUUCAUCUCCGGAUUAUUUAUAUAUUCUGGUUUUGAUCUUGCGACAGUUCGAUAAAGAAGACUUUGACAUUUUACGUUAUUAAUUUUUUCGUAUCAAUUAAAUUCAUUUAUUUUAGUAUCUUCUGGAUUUACAAUAACACUAAGAUAUUACCAUUUAAUUACUAACAAUUUAAAGUUUUCAAAAUUAUAUUUAUAUCUUAAGUUAAGUUGAUCCUAUUAUCUUUGAAUAUUGUUUGCGUGUAGAAACUUAAAUGCUGUACAUUUUAGAGCAUCUAGGUUAUUUGACAAUAAUAUUUCACAAAAAUAUUCGCAAAAAAACUAACUCUAAAUCACUGGUGCGCGCCAUUGGCAUAGUAAUACGGGUUCGCGGAACGGGCUCGAAGCGUAAAACACGAGGGCGUAGCUUCUCCUUCUCCGAGAGUGCACGGCCGAGGGGAAGCGUUCCGUUAAUUUGAUGUAAUUUAGGAGUGCGGUAAUUAUAUUUAAUGGUGGUAUCGUUUGAUCUUGAAAAGUCUCGAACAAACGCACACCGGUGCCCCGGCACGAGAGGAAUAUUAAUCUUAGUCGUAAAUUUUGAUAUGCCGCGGAAAGCCGGCUCCGCCGUGCCUCGCCUCGCGAGGUUUAUUGUCCCGCGACAUGCACGUAACAUCGCACCUGAAAUCCUUAUCGACUAACGGGCCGUCGUACGUAACAGGACUAUGUAACGCACCGUACCUCUUUCGCAGGAUUGUAAAUGUGAGCGCAAGAGCGCCCGGUUAACUGUCGCAAGAAAGUAUUAUAGAAUGUGCAGAACCAAGGGAGACAGAGAUAUUUCUAUAUAUUGAGUAGAAAAAAAGAAAAUGAUGGAGGAUAAUUCUAUGAUUAGGUAUUACUAUACAUGUAUGACAUUGCAGGGUGAAGAUUUCAGUUAUUUUUUCGUUAAAAUUCCUAUUGUUUUUGGAUACAUGUAUAAAAUUAUUGAAAAAAAUAGUAAACGAUUAUAUUAAAAUCUUUAACUCACAAAACAAUAUUUUAAUGAAAAUAAUUAAAGAAAAAUUUUCUUGCUUUCUUUUUCAUUUUACUUUAUUACUUUACAAGUACUUUUUGUUGACAGAAAAAAUAUCUUCAAUACUCCAUUUUAUCCUACCUCCUCUCGUUACUAUUUGUUGUACAUAAAGACAUAAAAACUUUUUAAAAAAAACAACAAGAAAGAAGAAAUAUUCAUCAUCUAUCCCAUUCCCACGUUCAAAAAAAAAACGGAAACCAGUUAUUCAGAUGGUCAAACUGUUAACAACGCCUCACUAGAGAGGAAGCGGAGGACGAUCGACGUGUCGUGUAAUUUCGGUUAACGAGCAGGAUCAGGCUGGCGGAGGCGGUAAGCUUGGAGAAAGAGGGGAGCCCUUCUGCUAAUCCCGAACAAUCCGAAAAUUUUCCUUCAUGUCCAAAAAAGGUACGUCCUCGUAUCUCGCGAGAGCAUACCUUCGACCGAAUUCUCGUUUACCUGGUAACUUUAAAUCACCGAGGGAGUGAAAACAGCAAGCCAGCAUGUCGAAAACGUGGAAGAGGAAAAAAGAAGAGGAGAGGAGGAUGGUGUGUCGUGCGAGUCGACGAGGGUUGUUUUUCUGGCCAACUUUGCAGAUAAGAUAGAGGAAUAUUCGGUGCCCAGUUUCGAGCACGUCUAACAGUUUUGUACCUACUCGCGCGACGAUAGAUAGUCCGUGGACGUGGACCCCGAAUUCCGUGCUUGGACACGGGUGGUCCCCUCGGCCACGAGACCGGUUGUAUCUCGUUUGCGGAAGCCACGCGAUACUUGAUGACGUUGGCUCUUUUCAUUAGAACCAGGAAACUGAUAGAUAAAGCAGUGGUAAGCGUACCACUUCAGGGUCCUGUGGACUUUCUAUGAGUAGGGUUUCAAUGACGUCUCGAGUAAAUUCUCUUCAAGACACUAUUUUAUAUUACAACGCUUGUAUUAAUAUGUAUCAAAUUUGGUCCUUUUUAUUUAAGAAUUAUUUCAAGAUAUUUUUUCAGUAAAUUAAGAAACUUUUCAUAUUUUCAAGAUUGAGUAUUUUUUAUAAUAAUAAUGAUGAAUAAUUAUUUUAAAUAAUGUUCGCAAAUAAAUUCUAAAUUUUAUUAAAUACAUUAUUAAAAUAAUUUAGGGUAUCAAAAAGAAUAAAAAUCGUAUACUUGAAUAAGUAUAACGGAUAUCUUUAAAUAUUGUCUUCAUCAGUAUCUAAUUAUUCAAUAUUUCCAAUAUUUCGUACAAAUCGUGGAAAAUCAUGGAAAAUGUACACGCGAGAGAAUCACGGAAGAAAUAUUGUUAAACAGGGAUUACAGAGAAGAUUAAGUCGCGUGUCCAGGACGACAGGUCCAAUCACUGACAGAAAUCAAUUAUCGUCUCUCGAAAUGACCGUGUCCUGGUAAUUAACCAGACAGAACCUUUCCCCAUAGACUGACACUGAUUGGUCACUGGCGAUAAUGAACUUAUUUAGGAAUAACCCAGUCGUCACGCCAUCUAACUUUCCCUCUCCUUCUCUGUUGGAACGAUUUCCGUUAAUACGCGAACCACGUAUUAUUGGACUGUAUCGAGUUGGAUGAAAUUUGACGGACAAUUUCGAAAUGGAAUUCACAACAGAUACGUAUUCGUAUUAAUCGAGAAAGCGAUUCACAGAGAAAAGACACGAACUGAGGGAGAAAGAAAUAUAAAGUUGUCAAGCAAAGUCGAUGGGUCCACAGUAAUAGCAAUAACCGAAUGAGAGAAAUAAUCGAGAGUACAAAAUGGUGGUCAGAUAAGACAGAGAGGAAAAGAGGGUGGCCGCGUGGCGAUGGGACAUAUAAACACGCUCGCACACUUAUCUGGCAGUAAAGAUGUUUACAGCGCGGUCUGCGCCGCCACUAUCACUAUCACCCCAAAAGAACGGACCACUCUAAUUGAUUUGUGGCUCGGUUGCUAUCGGUGCUCGUAACUUAAAUUAAAUUACAUGGCCAGUUCAUCCGUGGCGAAUGCACACUUCUGUGAACAGGACGCGGCAGGUCUUCCGGUAUACUCUUUUCUAUCGAUUUUCCUUCGCUAUAUUCUCUUUUGUCACUUUUCAUGUACAACGUACUUCUUAAUUCCAUAUGUACGGCACUCUACGAUAAUCUACGAUAAUACAAAAGAUUAGAUUGAUGAAGUUAAAAAGUAGUUGAAAAAGAAAGAGUAAGAAACGAAAAAUAAAGAAAGAACAGAAAGCAAGACGAGGACAAUUGGACAAUUGGCCAAUCAGUUUUACGAUCAGUCGCGAGAAUACAGAAAGCCGACAGUUGAGCCAAGAACACUGUCGUCCAACGAGGAACGCGGCCAAAUGGAAGUUGGCAUUCCUGCGCAGCGUGGAGCCGACUCGUCCUAGUCCGCGCACCCGCUGCUCUCUCGGUUUUCUUCAUUCAUCGCGACCAACUUUUAGACAACGUCGCGCCGUCGGGGGUGUCCACCCGAUCGCGACGAUCCUCUCUUCCUCGAUGACUCCAUCCAGUUUCUCCCCGACCGGUUUCAGCGGUUUCGUUUCAAUGUUGGUCGAGAUUCUGUUGACAAAUGGAGAAAAGGAAAUCUAGAUUUUCCAAGCAUAUAGGGAUAUUUAAUUAAACGCUUAAUCUGAAAUUAUUUACUUAAAUGUUUUAAAUAGUAUAUAAAAGGUAAAUAUCAAACAGAUAAGAUACAUUAAAUUCUACGAUUUAAAUAGAAUCAAGUAAAACGAUAAAAGGAACGAUUAAUUCUUGAAAAUGACAAUUUAAAGAGAUAUAAACAAAUAAGUGCAUAUAUUUCUCGAUUCUUUGGAAAGUAAUUCUUUACAUGUAAGUAAAAUGAUGAAAAAAUCGUUAGUUCCUGAAAAUAAGAUAUUUAAAAAGAUAAAUAUGCAAAAGAUAUUAACGAAUAGGUAAGUAUUUAUUCCACAUUUUUUAAAAUUAUAUUUUUUAAUACAAAAAUUCUCUCUUCUCAGAUUAUAUUCUCUUAUUGUAAAAUCUGAAAAUUGAUUGGAAAUUUUUACUAAAUUUCGAUUUUUAUAAUUUAUAUA